rnacentral:rRNA from 1 species
AUUGAACGCUGGCGGCAGGCCUAACACAUGCAAGUCGAGCGGAUGAAGGGAGCUUGCUCCUGUAUUCAGCGGCGGACGGGUGAGUAAUGCCUAGGAAUCUGCCUGGUAGUGGGGGAUAACGUCCGGAAACGGGCGCUAAUACCGCAUACGUCCUGAGGGAGAAAGUGGGGGAUCUUCGGACCUCACGCUAUCAGAUGAGCCUAGGUCGGAUUAGCUAGUUGGUGGGGUAAAGGCCUACCAAGGCGACGAUCCGUAACUGGUCUGAGAGGAUGAUCAGUCACACUGGAACUGAGACACGGUCCAGACUCCUACGGGAGGCAGCAGUGGGGAAUAUUGGACAAUGGGCGAAAGCCUGAUCCAGCCAUGCCGCGUGUGUGAAGAAGGUCUUCGGAUUGUAAAGCACUUUAAGUUGGGAGGAAGGGCAGUAAGUUAAUACCUUGCUGUUUUGACGUUACCAAAAGAAUAAGCCCCGGCUAACUUCGUG